GACGAAGGGGGCUAGCGUUGUUCGGAAUUACUGGGCGUAAAGCGCGUGUAGGCGGUUGUUCAAGUCGGGUGUGAAAGCCUUGAGCUCAACUCAAGAAAUGCACUCGGUACUGGAUGACUAGAGGACCGGAGAGGAUAGUGGAAUUCCCAGUGUAGUGGUGAAAUACGUAGAGAUUGGGAAGAACACCAGUGGCGAAGGCG
rnacentral:rRNA from 1 species